CCUACGGGAGGCAGCAGUGGGGAAUAUUGCACAAUGGGCGGAAGCCUGAUGCAGCGACGCCGCGUGAGGGAUGAAGGCCUUCGGGUUGUAAACCUCUUUCAGCAGGGACGAAGCGUGAGUGACGGUACCUGCAGAAGAAGCACCGGCUAACUACGUGCCAGCAGCCGCGGUAAUACGUAGGGUGCGAGCGUUGUCCGGAAUUACUGGGCGUAAAGAGUUCGUAGGCGGUUUGUCGCGUCGUUUGUGAAAACCCGGGGCUCAACUUCGGGCUUGCAGGCGAUACGGGCAGACCUGAGUGUUUCAGGGGAGACUGGAAUUCCUGGUGUAGCGGUGAAAUGCGCAGAUAUCAGGAGGAACACCGGUGGCGAAGGCGGGUCUCUGGGAAACAACUGACGCUGAGGAACGAAAGCGUGGGUAGCAAACAGGAUUAGAUACCCUGGUAGUCCACGCCGUAAACGGUGGCGCUAGGUGUGGGUUCCUUCCACGGAAUCUGUGCCGUAGCUAACGCAUUAAGCGCCCCGCCUGGGGAGUACGGCCGCAAGGCUAAAACUCAAAGGAAUUGACGG
rnacentral:rRNA from 1 species